rnacentral:lncRNA from 1 species
AUCGGACUGACAUAUGUAUUUUUUUUAGGAUAUAAAUUUAUAUUUAAUUUUAAAGUAUUAUGAAUAAAUAUGAGUUAUUAUUUUCAUUCAUGUUGUGUAUGUGUCCAUAAAUUGUUCAAGGAACUAAUAAGAUGAUAACACGUAUUCUAGAAAGUUGAGAAUUUGAGACAUGUGUCACUGAUGGUUAAUUCAUAAAUGCUCCCGAUCGAUGGAUCAUCAUGGAAAUGGUGAUUGAUUCGAUGAGAUUGGUGCAUAUGUCACUUCUUUUUUGAGUAGAUGACCCUCGAGUCAAUAAUGUGGGACACUGGAGUAAAUGUGUAGGUGGUUGCUAGAUAACAAAGGCACCGAGCGUGACCAACUCGAGAAGUGACUUGGAUGUCUACUUGCUCAUCGGUG